AGUGAACGCUGGCGGUAGGCCUAACACAUGCAAGUCGAACGGCAGCACAGUAAGAGCUUGCUCUUACGGGUGGCGAGUGGCGGACGGGUGAGGAAUACAUCGGAAUCUACUUUUUCGUGGGGGAUAACGUAGGGAAACUUACGCUAAUACCGCAUACGACCUACGGGUGAAAGCAGGGGAUCUUCGGACCUUGCGCGAUUGAAUGAGCCGAUGUCGGAUUAGCUAGUUGGCGGGGUAAAGGCCCACCAAGGCGACGAUCCGUAGCUGGUCUGAGAGGAUGAUCGGCCACACUGGAACUGAGACACGGUCCAGACUCCUACGGGAGGCAGCAGUGGGGAAUAUUGGACAAUGGGCGGAAGCCUGAUCCAGCCAUACCGCGUGGGUGAAGAAGGCGUUCGGGUUGUAAAGCCCUUUUGUUGGGAAAGAAAAGCAGCAGGUUAAUACCCCGCUGUUCUGACGGUACCCAAAGAAUAAGCACCGGCUAACUUCGUG
rnacentral:rRNA from 1 species